CAGCAGUAGCCACGGGAAUACGGAGGGUGCAAGCGUUAAUCGGAAUUACUGGGCGUAAAGCGCACGCAGGCGGUUUGUUAAGUCAGAUGUGAAAUCCCCGAGCUUAACUUGGGAACUGCAUUUGAAACUGGCAAGCUAGAGUCUUGUAGAGGGGGGUAGAAUUCCAGGUGUAGCGGUGAAAUGCGUAGAGAUCUGGAGGAAUACCGGUGGCGAAGGCGGCCCCCUGGACAAAGACUGACGCUCAGGUGCGAAAGCGUGGGGAGCAAACAGGAUUAGAUACCCGCGUAGUCCCUGUCUCUUAUAC
rnacentral:rRNA from 1 species